rnacentral:rRNA from 1 species
GGGUUGUGAGGUUAAGCGACUAAGCGUACACGGUGGAUGCCCUGGCAGUCAGAGGCGAUGAAGGACGUGCUAAUCUGCGAUAAGCGUCGGUGAGGUGAUAUGAACCGUUAUAACCGGCGAUUUCCGAAUGGGGAAACCCAGUGUGUUUCGACACACUAUCAUUAACUGAAUCCAUAGGUUAAUGAGGCGAACCGGGGGAACUGAAACAUCUAAGUACCCCGAGGAAAAGAAAUCAACCGAGAUUCCCCCAGUAGCGGCGAGCGAACGGGGAGCAGCCCAGAGCCUGAAUCAGUGUGUGUGUUAGUGGAAGCGUCUGGAAAGGCGCGCGAUACAGGGUGACAGCCCCGUACACAAAAAUGCACAUGCUGUGAGCUCGAUGAGUAGGGCGGGACACGUGGUAUCCUGUCUGAAUAUGGGGGGACCAUCCUCCAAGGCUAAAUACUCCUGACUGACCGAUAGUGAACCAGUACCGUGAGGGAAAGGCGAAAAGAACCCCGGCGAGGGGAGUGAAAAAGAACCUGAAACUGUGUACGUACAAGCAGUGGGAGCCUCUUUAUGGGGUGACUGCGUACCUUUUGUAUAAUGGGUCAGCGACUUAUAUUCUGUAGCAAGGUUAACCGAAUAGGGGAGCCGAAGGGAAACCGAGUCUUAACUGGGCGUUAAGUUGCAGGGUAUAGACCCGAAACCCGGUGAUCUAGCCAUGGGCAGGUUGAAGGUUGGGUAACACUAACUGGAGGACCGAACCGACUAAUGUUGAAAAAUUAGCGGAUGACUUGUGGCUGGGGGUGAAAGGCCAAUCAAACCGGGAGAUAGCUGGUUCUCCCCGAAAGCUAUUUAGGUAGCGCCUCGUGAAUUCAUCUCCGGGGGUAGAGCACUGUUUCGGCAAGGGGGUCAUCCCGACUUACCAACCCGAUGCAAACUGCGAAUACCGGAGAAUGUUAUCACGGGAGACACACGGCGGGUGCUAACGUCCGUCGUGAAGAGGGAAACAACCCAGACCGCCAGCUAAGGUCCCAAAGUCAUGGUUAAGUGGGAAACGAUGUGGGAAGGCCCAGACAGCCAGGAUGUUGGCUUAGAAGCAGCCAUCAUUUAAAGAAAGCGUAAUAGCUCACUGGUCGAGUCGGCCUGCGCGGAAGAUGUAACGGGGCUAAACCAUGCACCGAAGCUGCGGCAGCGACGCUUAUGCGUUGUUGGGUAGGGGAGCGUUCUGUAAGCCUGCGAAGGUGUGCUGUGAGGUAUGCUGGAGGUAUCAGAAGUGCGAAUGCUGACAUAAGUAACGAUAAAGCGGGUGAAAAGCCCGCUCGCCGGAAGACCAAGGGUUCCUGUCCAACGUUAAUCGGGGCAGGGUGAGUCGACCCCUAAGGCGAGGCCGAAAGGCGUAGUCGAUGGGAAACAGGUUAAUAUUCCUGUACUUGGUGUUACUGCGAAGGGGGGACGGAGAAGGCUAUGUUGGCCGGGCGACGGUUGUCCCGGUUUAAGCGUGUAGGCUGGUUUUCCAGGCAAAUCCGGAAAAUCAAGGCUGAGGCGUGAUGACGAGGCACUACGGUGCUGAAGCAACAAAUGCCCUGCUUCCAGGAAAAGCCUCUAAGCAUCAGGUAACAUCAAAUCGUACCCCAAACCGACACAGGUGGUCAGGUAGAGAAUACCAAGGCGCUUGAGAGAACUCGGGUGAAGGAACUAGGCAAAAUGGUGCCGUAACUUCGGGAGAAGGCACGCUGAUAUGUAGGUGAAGCGACUUGCUCGUGGAGCUGAAAUCAGUCGAAGAUACCAGCUGGCUGCAACUGUUUAUUAAAAACACAGCACUGUGCAAACACGAAAGUGGACGUAUACGGUGUGACGCCUGCCCGGUGCCGGAAGGUUAAUUGAUGGGGUUAGCGGUAACGCGAAGCUCUUGAUCGAAGCCCCGGUAAACGGCGGCCGUAACUAUAACGGUCCUAAGGUAGCGAAAUUCCUUGUCGGGUAAGUUCCGACCUGCACGAAUGGCGUAAUGAUGGCCAGGCUGUCUCCACCCGAGACUCAGUGAAAUUGAACUCGCUGUGAAGAUGCAGUGUACCCGCGGCAAGACGGAAAGACCCCGUGAACCUUUACUAUAGCUUGACACUGAACAUUGAGCCUUGAUGUGUAGGAUAGGUGGGAGGCUUUGAAGUGUGGACGCCAGUCUGCAUGGAGCCGGCCUUGAAAUACCACCCUUUAAUGUUUGAUGUUCUAACGUUGGCCCCUGAUCGGGGUUGCGGACAGUGUCUGGUGGGUAGUUUGACUGGGGCGGUCUCCUCCUAAAGAGUAACGGAGGAGCACGAAGGUUGGCUAAUCCUGGUCGGACAUCAGGAGGUUAGUGCAAUGGCAUAAGCCAGCUUGACUGCGAGCGUGACGGCGCGAGCAGGUGCGAAAGCAGGUCAUAGUGAUCCGGUGGUUCUGAAUGGAAGGGCCAUCGCUCAACGGAUAAAAGGUACUCCGGGGAUAACAGGCUGAUACCGCCCAAGAGUUCAUAUCGACGGCGGUGUUUGGCACCUCGAUGUCGGCUCAUCACAUCCUGGGGCUGAAGUAGGUCCCAAGGGUAUGGCUGUUCGCCAUUUAAAGUGGUACGCGAGCUGGGUUUAGAACGUCGUGAGACAGUUCGGUCCCUAUCUGCCGUGGGCGCUGGAGAACUGAGGGGGGCUGCUCCUAGUACGAGAGGACCGGAGUGGACGCAUCACUGGUGUUCGGGUUGUCAUGCCAAUGGCACUGCCCGGUAGCUAAAUGCGGAAGAGAUAAGUGCUGAAAGCAUCUAAGCACGAAACUUGCCCCGAGAUGAGUUCUCCCUGAGACUUAGAGUCUCCUGAAGGAACGUUGAAGACGACGACGUUGAUAGGCCGGGUGUGUAAGCGCAGCGAUGCGUUGAGCUAACCGGUACUAAUGAACCGUGAGGCUUAACCUUACAACGCCGAAG